rnacentral:rRNA from 1 species
AUUGAACGCUGGCGGCAGGCCUAACACAUGCAAGUCGAGUGGAUGACGGGAGCUUGCUCCUUGAUUCAGCGGCGGACGGGUGAGUAAUGCCUAGGAAUCUGCCUGGUAGUGGGGGACAACGUUUCGAAAGGAACGCUAAUACCGCAUACGUACUACGGGAGAAAGCAGGGGACCUUCGGGCCUUGCGCUAUCAGAUGAGCCUAGGUCGGAUUAGCUAGUUGGUGGGGUAAUGGCUCACCAAGGCGACGAUCCGUAACUGGUCUGAGAGGAUGAUCAGUCACACUGGAACUGAGACACGGUCCAGACUCCUACGGGAGGCAGCAGUGGGGAAUAUUGGACAAUGGGCGAAAGCCUGAUCCAGCCAUGCCGCGUGUGUGAAGAAGGUCUUCGGAUUGUAAAGCACUUUAAGUUGGGAGGAAGGGCAGUAAGUUAAUACCUUGCUGUUUUGACGUUACCGACAGAAUAAGCACCGGCUAACUCUGUGCCAGCCGCCGCGGUAA